CCUACGGGAGGCAGCAGUGAGGAAUAUUGGUCAAUGGGCGGAAGCCUGAACCAGCCAAGUAGCGUGCGGGAUGAAGGCCCUACGGGUCGUAAACCGCUUUUGCACGGGGAUAACACCCUCCACUUGUGGAGGUCUGCAGGUACCGUGCGAAUAAGGGCCGGCUAAUUCCGUGCCAGCAGCCGCGGUAAUACGGAAGGCCCGAGCGUUAUCCGGAUUCAUUGGGCUUAAAGGGAGCGUAGGCGGGCGUUCAAGUCAGCUGUAAAAGCGCGCGGCUCAACCGCGCCCCGCAGUUGACACUGGACGCCUUGAGUGCACAACAGGCAGGCGGAAUUCGUGGUGUAGCGGUGAAAUGCAUAGAUAUCACGAGGAACCCCGAUUGCGAAGGCAGCCUGCCGGGGUGCGACUGACGCUGAGGCUCGAAGGUGCGGGUAUCAAACAGGAUUAGAUACCCCUGUAGUC
rnacentral:rRNA from 1 species